rnacentral:tRNA from 1 species
GGGGCCGUAGCUCAGCUGGGAGAGCGCUUGACUGGCAGUCAAGAGGUCGGCAGUUCGAUCCUGCUCGGCUCCA